GGAGUUGUCAAUAUAACAAGUGGAUAAAACAGCCUCUCCUCUCAAGAAGCUUAUAAACCAGUAGAGGAAAAAUAGCAGCUUCACUAUAUGUGGAAAUAGCAGCUUCACUCUUAGAGUCAAUUGUCAUAAUUCCCUAAACUAGAAAAGAAGAAGGCAAUGAUUCUUACAGGGGUAAUCUGUAAAGGCUUUAUCAGGAAAGAUUUUUGCUAGGCCCCGAAGGAUCGACACUGUUUCAGUAAGUGAAGAUAGAGGAGAGAGCACUCCAGGGAAAGGUGUUGCCAGGAGCAAAGCACCUGUCCGUGACCGUCUAUUGUUUGUGGAAACCCAGACACUGUGGGUCAAUGCUCCCUCUCAGGUUGUUUGCCAGCAGCUAAGGGAAGGUCUAGGUCCUUUCUUCCAGAGCUUCUGUUCAGGGCAGAUUGUGAUGAAGGGAACCACUUUGGUGACUGAUGGGGCUUAAGAUCUCUCUGCAAGGCUACUUUCAAGUGAAUUUACAAACCAAGGGUGCAAAAUACAGCAGGCUACAGGAAGAAAGAAAGGCACUUUGGCUUCAGGAGAUGUACAGCAAUAGAACUGAGUCAACAGGAGUGAUCAUCAUCCAAGAGAUCAUCAUCUCUUCCUCAUCCUCCCCCUUUUUCUCCUUAUCCUCAUUCUCUUAUCUUCAUUAUCAUUAUGAUCACUGGCUCAUACUGAGAUGCAUGAAAAGGAGAGAAGGAAGGAAAGAAGGAAGGUGCAAGAGAGGAGAGUCUCCUGAAUUGUCCCUGGAUCUGAAUACCAUCCUAGGUGCCGGUCCAUUAACUUCCAAGAGAAUCCCAUGAGUAUAUAGUAUGGUUUCAAAAUAAUGGAAGCUAGAAUAACACAAAUGUGAACUCUAGUCCCAAUUCUUCUAAUUCCUGUGUUGUUGAUCCCAAACACAUUAUAUAAAGUUAUCUGUUCUUCCAUUUCCUCUAAUAAAAUAAG
rnacentral:lncRNA from 1 species